GUUUGGGAUGCACUCCACGCCUGUGAGCAAUUAUUAACAUCCGAGCAAGCUCUGCCUUGUUCUUCCUGAGCCGCCGGAGCCAUGGGGAGACGGGGAUAGCCCGAUUACUGCUGAUCCGAAGUUUCACAUCCUCAUCUCUACAGCUAAACUCGACGUAGCUGCCGGGGAGGAAAAGUGGAAGAAAACGCUCAGGUAAGCUUCCAUUGUUUGGCAAUUUCACCAAUCUACCAGCUCAAGGCGCUCCUUUUUGGAUUUGGCUACCUUAUGACAUUCUACCUGUGAUUUUAAAGACACUGAAUUUUACUUUCUUUUCUAUGCCUCCAUAUUUUAUUUAUGUAUCACAUUAUACUUUGUAGUGAGGGAGGAGGGUGAGUUUUGAGUCCCUAAAUUUGUUCCUAAAACAGUAACUGAGGUGAAAAAUCAGAGGCAUUUUCUCUCUCUGCGGAUAGGAAUUAGGCAUUUCCCAAAGUUGCACCCCAUUCUUCAGGUCACCUGAAUACCAUCUGAGAGCAUUGCAAGAGCAGGACCUGGACAGGCCUGUCUGGGUCGGGGAGAGCCCACCUGGACCACAGCGUGGCUCUCUGCAGUUCUAGUUCAUAAUUGGAGGCAGUUCCUUUUUCUCUCAGCACUAGUGACAUUUCUUCGCUGUGGGCACUGUCCUGUGCAUCGUAGAAGGUGCAGGAGCAUCUUCCGGCCCUCCCUACUAGACGCCAGGAGCACCUCCACCCCACCCCACCAGCUGUGAAAACCAAAGGUGUCCAGACUUAGCUGGAUGUCCCUCAAGUGGGGGAGGGGGUCCACACCAUGCUGUGCUUCACUGACCCCCCCAGAACAGCUGGCUGGGUAGCCCUUAACCAACAUAAUUUUAUCAAAGCAUUUUUUAAAUUGCUGGUUGUUAUGGUGACGGGUUUGACCAACAGAGAUUUAAGGAUUCUUUGUCUGGGAGAUAAUUGUAGCCAUUAGCUUCAAGGUCAGCAUUUUCAACAGAGAGGGCCCUGCCCUGGUUUAGCUGACCCUCGCAGAGCAGAAGCCUUGAUGCUGGAGGAGACUUUAGACCAAUCUCAUCUUCUCACGUUUGUGGCUCAGAGAGGUGAAUCCACCCUGCCAAGGUCACAAAGCCAGUGGAGGGAAAACCCUGGCAAGAGAGAGGGAGUGUCAGGACCCAAGCUCAGAGCCCUUUAGUGCAUUCUGAGCAUCUUGGAUCCAAACCAUGGGCACCAUGGUUUGUGGCUCAAAAAUACUCUUUUCAGAAAAAGAAAUGGACACAAUGAAUACUCAUAUAAGCAGGAAUGACUAUAAGAAGAUAGAUUUUGCUAUGACAAAUGUUUUUUCCUUUCUAAGAAGCUUUCAUUUUGCCACAGUUGUUGAAGAAAAUAAUAUUCAUGACCCUCAUUAAAGAACCGUAAGGCAGAUUUUAUUCAGGGGCCAUCCUGACAAGCGUAGGGGCCACAGCACUGGGGUUUUGCAGUAGCGGGGAGAGACUGAGAGGCUCAGCUCUGAACACAAUAAGGACAAGUGGGGAUUCAGAGCCAAGGAGUAGGGUGUGUAUUGGGUGGUGAUGGAUGGGAAGUUACUAGGAGGAAACACAAGACUGGGGGCGUUCUUGCUAGACCAACUCCACGGGAUUCUUGCUAAAGUGAGGCUGAGGUGACAACAUCGAGGGUGGGGGAUUUCCGCUAAAACUGGGCUAAAUGUGGGAAGACAGAGCCUGAGUGUGGGGCCUUGAGGCUUAGAGGAGUCCAACUAGAGCUGAGUCAGGGGGAGGGUCACUGUCACAGCUGUGCAGAGAGCCUGGCCACCCGAAAUGCAGAAAUCCAGAGAAUCAGGCUUGUUUCAGACCCACUGCCACCAAUCAUGAACACGGGUUCCGAUGCUUUGCAAGCUUGUGUGGAAGCACGGCACAUGGAUGGACACCUCCCCUGCAGGGUUACGAUGUUCUCCGCUCAGAUUUAAUGCCAGGACAUUCUCUCCUCCCUCCCUCCCCUCUGAGGGCUCAGUCAUUUCCCUUAGUUCUUAGAAAGAAACAGGCAGAUGAGGGGAAACCUCACCACCACUCCUCUGCUAAUGUCUUUUCAAACUCUGACUUUUUCUUAAUUAAACAAACAAUGAGCAUGCAUUGCUUAUAUGAUAAGGAGAAAAAAGAUAAUGUCAAAAUUGUCCCUCCCCACCUCUUCUGAAAAGUCUUUUCAAUCUUCUUCUCUAAAUACCGCAUGAUGUGGUAUUUCAAAACUCAGCUUCAUCUUUGCGCCGUGGCGAGCAGCUGGACAAGUUACUUAACCUGGCCCUCAGGGAGCCUUGGUUUUCUUGUCUACAAAACACGGGGAAGAAUGCUUGAAAAUGUGCCAGACAAUGUGAGGUCUGAAUGAACCAUUCAGCGUUGGCGCUCGGCCUGGGACCUCACACAGUAAACUUGUCGUUGUCGUUACAUCCUGAGGGACGAGGAGGCAAGCCACCGGGUUGGAGGCACAGGUGUCUCCUCUGGGAUGAGAGUCACGUGGGUCCCACGGGAGCAGGAAGCAGGCGGCAUUGCAUUCCAAGUUCUCUCAAGUCCACUUGGAUAUUUAUCACCAGUUACACCUGUAAUUUUUGAAAAAACGAUUGCGUUUAUCACUAUGCUUUGAAGAUGGCGGAGUGGAAAGACAGGAUCCUUGAAUAUCUAAAUCCAAUCUUUGGAAUAUUAAAUCUAAAACCUAAAUGAGACAUCAGAAAAAUAACCAAAUUUGAAUGUGAGGGUACCUUCUUCCUAAUGUGCUGAACACAUCUAAUAAGUUUACAAUAUUCUAUUUUCAAAGGGCGUUCAUUAUUUUUUUAUUUUUAUUUUUUUUGAGGAAAAUCAGCCCUGAGCUACUUACUGCCAAUCCUCCUCUUUUUGCUGAAGAAGACUGGCCCUGAGCUAACAUCCGUGCCCGUCUUCCCCUACUUUAUAUGUGGGAUGCCUCCCACAGCAUGGCUUGACAAGCAGUGCCUAGAUCUGUGCCUAGUAUCCAGACUGGCAAACCCUGGGCCACCAAAGCAGAGCGUGUGAACUUAACCAGAGCAUGUGAACUUAACUGCUACUCCAGUGGGCCGGCUCCUCCAUCAUAUUUUUAAUUCAAUUCAUUUUGUUUUUAAUGAGGUAGGGUAAAGGAAUUGGUAUUGACAAAUAAAAAUGGCAAGCAAUAGGAUAUAUUGGAGAAUAUGAGGAAGCCAUUUUGUGUAAACCUAAUUCGGCCUGACCUUGUCUUUCCAAAAGGGCCUGACCGAGGCCGUUGAGCAUGCAUUGUAUAUCUGCUUUAGAUAUUCCCUAUGGCAAGAACAAAGGCCCUUGAGAUAAAGGUGCAACUUCCCUCCCCCUCCCAACGUUGGCAUUCCCUUAAGGAUCAAGCAUCUUUCCUUAGGCUAGAAGCUGAUUGCUGCGCUCACCUGUGACCACCCAGCUCAAGACAAUAGACUUGCCUCCUGCUACGCCCUCCUCGCCCUCCGAGAUAGCAGACCCACUACCUGCUGUGUCCAUCAAGCGCUGUGCUGACAGGGCAAUCUUGUGACUAUUGUGGGAGGGACAUUUCAAUCAUAUGUGAAACGUCCUGUAUGGGGGUAUACAACUACUCUGUAUACCUCACUUCUUUGGUGCCCUUUCUUCCUUCGGGAAGAAAGGCCCCGGGCCAUGGUCCUCAGAUUUCAGCUCAGAAUAAACUCACCCAAAUUUUCAUUUAUAGAUUGGUUAUGGAUUAUUUUCGUUGACAGUAUUUUAUCUUUUAUUUUUUUGGGUGAGGAAGAUUGUCACCGAGCUAACACCUGUCACCAAUCCUCCUCUUUUUGCUCAAGGAAGAUUUUCACUGAGCUACAUCUAUCGCAAUCUUCCUCUGUUUUUUGCAUGUGGGACACUGCCACAGUAUGGCUUGAUGCACAGUGUGUAGGUCCGUGCCCAGGAUCUGGGCCCGUGAACCCUGGGCCACUGAAGCAGAGGGCAUGAACUCAGCCACUAUGCCACCGAGCUGGCUCCAAUACAAUGCACUUUCGAGCGCCUCUCACAGAGUUGGCCUGGGGGUGGUGCAGGCAGCGUGGAUAAAGAUGACUUCCGUCCAGAUACUUCUCAUUCCUUGCCUCAUCUGUCCUUUCAACAAUACUUAUUGGUCACCAAUGUGUGCCAGGUACUUUUCCCAGUGCUGAACAAGACCAAUUCCUGCUCUCAUGCAGCUGGCAGUAUAGUCAGAAGACAUAGAAAAUAAAGAAAUAACUAGAACAAACCCAUAAAAAUACAGCAUGUCUGGUGGUGACAAGUGCCGUAAAGAGAAGCCUUUGGAGUGAGAUCCUUGGGCCAGGGCCCUGCUGCAUGGUGACGCAUGAGUAGUCCUGGGCCAGCACAGCAACCGAGCCCCAACAGGUAAGCGCCCCAGGAAAUCUCAGAGCACCCUCCCAGGUGUUACUUCCACAUUUCACAACUGAGGCCGGGCCUCGCAGGUCAAGCAGAUGCACACCCAGGGCUCGCGGCUGGUGGCUCUGGAGCCCAGGUCCAUCUGACUCCAAAGCCACAUUUUUCCACUCUAGGCAAGGCUGCUCCUGGCUCUCCAAAGCCUGGUGUCUACACUCAAAAACAGAACCCCCCAGUUCUAGGUUCCUUGACUCCAUCUUCCCUGUGCUGGUCCUUCCACAGAAUGCUCCCACGCCAGAGGUUUCCAUCCGGAAAGUGGAGACACCGCCUCACUCCUGAAAACCAGUUCACAGUUCAUGAAGCUGUUUCAGCUGCAUUACCUCACAAUUAAUUUGUUUUUUAAAUAACGUGUGCUGAAUGCCGACGUAACGCCAGCUGCUGUUCCAGCUCGUAGCAUCUAAUUCUCUCCACCAUGUGGAGUGGGCAGUGCAUAUUUCCAUUUUACAGACUCGGAUCCUGAGGGCCAGGACAGGGGCCACGGGCUAGGAGAGAGGCGCCUGCUGACCAGGGAUCCAUACAAAAUGAGACCACCCCCCUCGAGUGCUUUGAAAGCCAUACCCCAGUGCAAACAUGUCCAACCUCCUUUUCCAGGGUCCUGGGAAGACUAAAGGGGCUGCUUGAGAGGGAAGAACUCCCGGAAAUGUUAGUGGCUGCUGUCUCUCCAUCACUCUGUGAUUUUCAGGGAGCUUGACAUCACGGGCUGUCAGGACUGACAGCCUGCUUAUGGCUGGGUCAGGAGGGUUUACUGGCUUUGCAGAAAGCAGAACCUAGAAACCGGGGUUGGGAGAAGUUAGGUCAUUUGCCUAAGGCCACAGGGUGGUUUGGGAAGUGAAACUAUACAUUCAAUGCUCGACAUCUCCAGAGGCUUGGUGGCCUUGGAUGGCCGACUUAUUUUUCCAAGGAGCCCUGGGUUCUGAGGGCUGAGUCACCGUGAUUGGUCACUGCGCAGGGCUGGGCAGACCGGCCUGCAGCUGGGCCUUCACAGGCUGGGC
rnacentral:lncRNA from 1 species